rnacentral:rRNA from 1 species
GAUGAACGCUGGCGGCGUGCCUAAUACAUGCAAGUCGAGCGAACAGAUAAGGAGCUUGCUCCUUUGACGUUAGCGGCGGACGGGUGAGUAACACGUGGGUAACCUACCUAUAAGACUGGGAUAACUUCGGGAAACCGGAGCUAAUACCGGAUAACAUUUGGAACCGCAUGGUUCUAAAGUGAAAGAUGGUUUUGCUAUCACUUAUAGAUGGACCCGCGCCGUAUUAGCUAGUUGGUAAGGUAACGGCUUACCAAGGCAACGAUACGUAGCCGACCUGAGAGGGUGAUCGGCCACACUGGAACUGAGACACGGUCCAGACUCCUACGGGAGGUAGCAGUAGGGAAUCUUCCGCAAUGGGCGAAAGCCUGACGGAGCAACGCCGCGUGAGUGAUGAAGGGUUUCGGCUCGUAAAACUCUGUUAUUAGGGAAGAACAAAUGUGUAAGUAACUGUGCACGUCUUGACGGUACCUAAUCAGAAAGCCACGGCUAACUACGUG